rnacentral:rRNA from 1 species
GGGCCCGCACAAGCGGUGGAGUAUGUGGUUUAAUUCGAUGCAACGCGAAGAACCUUACCAGGGUUUGACAUCCUGCGAAUCUCUUGGAAACGAGAGAGUGCCUUCGGGAGCGCAGUGACAGGUGGUGCAUGGCUGUCGUCAGCUCGUGUCGUGAGAUGUUGGGUUAAGUCCCGCAACGAGCGCAACCCUCGCCCUUAGUUGCCAGCAUUCAGUUGGGCACUCUAAGGGGACUGCCGGUGAUAAGCCGAGAGGAAGGUGGGGAUGACGUCAAGUCCUCAUGGCCCUUAUAUCCAGGGCUGCAAACAUGCUACAAUGGCCGGUACAAAGGGCAGCGAAACCGCGAGGUCAAGCGAAUCCCACAAAGCCGGUCUCAGUUCGGAUUGGAGUCUGCAACUCGACUCCAUGAAGCUGGAGUCGCUAGUAAUCCCGGAUC